ensembl:lncRNA
UCAUGGGUUUAAAGUUUGAAAUAACCUCCAGUGGUGAUACAGACUUAGGGCUAAAGUCCUUUCCCUCCGGUCCAUUGGUGACACCUUUUGUCUGUUAUGACUCAGAGACAUGCUAAAGGAUGGCCUGGACAACAAGAUUCCUGUCUUAGAGAAGGGCAAGGGGGAGGGGGACGACUACAUCUAGGGUCUGGUGUUUCCCUUUGCUGUGUGUGGUGUCAUCAUGACAAGGUCUAAAGAAAAAAAGGGUUGUGGAUGCCUAUGAGUCUGGCAAGGGAUUUUUUAGAAGAUCUGUAAGGAAAAUGAUCUACAAGUGGCAGAUUUGGCCCUUUGAGAUUGAGAACGACUGCUAAUUUGUCCAGGACCGGUCACCCCAGCAAAUUCAGCCAGAAAGCAGACCAGUUGAUGGCAAAAAAUAAUAAUAAUAAUAACGCGAACAUUUCAUCACAGGACCAGGACAAAGCACUUGCUGUCCAAAAAGAACAUGGUUGCCAGUGCACAUAUAGGCAAAGACCAGGCCUUUUGGAAUAGUGUGCUCUGGACAGACAAAUCAAAGAUGUGUUUGUAACCCAUAGUAACCAUACAUGUUUAGCACAGACCAAAGACAGCUUUUCAGGAGAAGAACCUCAUACCAGCCUGCAGUCAUUGAUUCAGCAUCAUAUCAAAGAGUGCCUAAAGAUAACGUGAGGCCAUCUCUCCGAAAAGCUGAAGUUGAACUGGAAGUGGCCCUUUUAACAGGAUCAUGAUCUGAAGCUCUCAAGCAAAUCCACCAAGGAAUGGUUCAAGUCCAGAUUUGAAAUGUUGUGGGGGGAUUUGAAACAGACAUGCAAAACCCUCUCAAACAUCUUGCAACUGAAGUAGUUUUGUAUGAAAAGUGUGUAAGUCAGAGACUGGUGGACAUUUGCAAAAUGCCUACAAUAAGUUAUUAGCUGAGGCCAGGGGUUCACUUACUUUCUCCACAUUUGAAUAUUAUAUCUACUGAUAUUUUUGUUGAAUACAUGAUUGAAAAAGUAUAUCAACUUUAUCGGUAGGCAUUGUAUCAAAGAGAGUAAAAUGAAAGUCAAUGAUUUCCAUGGUAUGUACAAAAAAAAUAUUCACAUGACUAGCUCCCCAAGCUAGGGCUAGAUAGCUAGGGUAGCCAUGUUAACUGGCAUGAGACGCUAACCAUGAACCAUUUGUUGUGGCAUUGGCGCAAAGUGGCAUUCUUUCGAAAACCGCAGUUAGUUCAUUUCUAUACCGCAGCAGCCCUAGUUUAAGCCCAAGAUAGCAUGUCAUCAGUGAUCAGAUAGAGAUUUGGGGAUAGACUUAAUUAGAGCCAUCUGAUGGCCAUUGUUCUUUUUAUUAAGGACAUGUCUUUACUUUUAUUGCUAGACUCGACCUUGCCGCUACAGUCUGCCUGUAGCCACUGGACGCAUUCCUCAUUGGGUCAGGUGGGAAGGGUCGGCAUCCCAAACCCCACUGGUGACUGACAGAAGUGAGUUACAGCCAAUGAGGUUGUUGUUCUCCUCAGCUUCGGUCAGUUCAUAUUAGCCGUCCCUAACUUCCACUGCCACUCUAGCCAGUUGAUCCUCCUAUUAAUAACAAAUAGGACUAGUGGCUGCUUGAGAGACUCUCGCAUGACAUAUCAGCCUAUAUGUACUGAGAACGCAUAAAAUGGUUCAACAAACUCUUGAUUAUUUUAGGAUGCAGGCACAGCAUAUCAAAAACAUUUGAAAUGUUACUCUAUCCUGGCAUGCUGAGACCCCUGGCAACUCAUUUUGUAAAUGUGAGCCAACUUCUUUUGGUCAGAACCAAAAAUAGCAGGUCAGAGGUGGGAUACAUGUGUUUAGAUGGGGACAUUUUUUUUAAAUGUCAAGACAUGUCAAACUACCUCAAAGGUGCCUGACAGGCCUCAGUCCCAAGAGAGUUAACUUCCCAGAAUGUCUUCAACAGCGUUACACUGUACACCUAUGGUUACGAGAAAAACAUUUUUAAACGAGCAAACUAUAACGGGAUUCAUGAGUGUGAGAGCCAGAUGAAGAGUUACAGAAUCGCUCCUGAUGAAGGUGGUGGUCUAAAUAAAUAGCGGCUUAAAAAAGUGAGUAAAUAAAUAGCUUGGUCUGAACUAAGCCUAGUUCCGCUGUUUGUGUUGAAAAUUCACAUUAGUCUUGUUACUGGAUGAACUGUCUCUCUACGCCAAGAUUGGUUUGAGAACCAGGAGUUGGUUAGGACCUACAUGGUACUUAGUAGCUCCAAAAUCAAAAUAUUGUCACACAGAAUGACGUUUUUCACCAUGAACAACCGAUCACUAUCACUGUAGCAUCUCGCUUCCCAUACAUAUUGAUAGUGUAUGUUGGGAUUAACUUCAGUAAUGCCCUUCCACGAAAAUAAACCUACAUCAAAAAAUGAAUUGUACCUAUCGUUUUGUACUUUGUAUUUCAACCACCGCUGUACUGGAAUCUCUUCAGUGGUAAUAAGAUGGGUGUUCGUUAAAUGAAGGUAGGCUAACACGUAACAUUAAUUAAAUUGGUCAUAGUUUAUUGUAGUAAUGUUAGGUAGACAUUUGUUAAGUUGUUGAUGUUUGAUACUUGUUCUGCAAGGCAAAUAAGGUUUUCAGUCAAGUGAAGUAAAAAGGUCUCUCAUCAGUCCCAUAUUGAACUGUUAUUGACCCCGUUGAACUUCAUCUUCCUACCGUUUACAACGGAUAGCCAUCACAACGACUUAUUUACGAUGGACCUUACACCUAAGGAUGAAGUGUCAAAUUGAAGUUAUUCAAGUAUUAAGUUAUUAUUAACUUAGUGUUACGUUGCAAAUAUUUGCUCGAUGCAACCCAUUACAUUUGAGGAGGCUGCCAUCUCGUCAGGCUUCUUUGGGAGGGCACGGUUGAAACACAGACACAAAAAACAGUUUCUUCCCCCUCGCCAUCUCACUACUGAACAACUAACCCACUGUAGCAUAUAUAUUUAUCCCUGCACUUCUCGCACUCUCCACUUCUUCUUUGCACUACUGUUGUGCAACAUUUCACAGCUACUGUAUAUAGCCAUUCCGCCUUGUACAUACUUUCUUAAACUCCUUAGUCCAUUGCACUGUUUGUUUGUUUGUUUGUAUUGUAUUGUAUUGUAUUGUAUUGUAUUGUAUUGUGUUGUAUAUUUUGUGUAAGCACACUGAGAGUCACUUUACCAAGUCAAAUUCCUUGUUUGUGCAAACUUACUUGGCCAAUAAAACCUGAUUCUGAUUCUGAAAAGAGGAACCAUUUUGAAAUAUACAGUGCUCCAAUCUGUGUGUGAUGACGAAGGACAUGAAGAGGGACAAUAGCCUCAAUUCAAUCCAUGGUACUGAUAUUCCUCACAAAAGACAGACAGCACAGUUUCUUUGUAAAUAUGUGCCUUUAAAUGGAAACAUGGCAAUCAUAAACUGCUACAAACUUGAUCAUUUCAAGAUGUAGGCACCUUAGCUCUUGGAAAUAAAUCCAACUCUCUUUUGAUGAGUGUUUUCCGUGUAUCAAACUUUGUAGACUCACCACUUGCAAAAGGUUUGGCUAUGCCCUUCCACAAGAGGCCCUUCCACUUAAGACUCUAUCAUUCCACUGAAAAGGUCAAAACAUUUUAAACAGUUUUACCCCAUCAAGGAAUACGUAGGUAGUUGGCAUAAUUCUUUACGUUCUCUCUGUGACCUGUCCAUCCAGGGCAUAUCUUAAAAGAGAUACCAUUACAACACACCAUAGCAUAUCCUUGCCUGAUUAUAACUCUGAAGACGACAACAUCAAACCUGGAGCAUAGCCUUCUCCUGAUUCAAUGGAAAGUGAUAUCUCAAACUAUAAACCCCCCCCCCAUCUGUAACGUCUUAUGGAUGAAAAGAAUUAGAUAUUUUUCAUAGCCACAACAAUGCCACACAUUUGUUGACAAGGUACAUAAAACAAAAGGCUAGUGUAGCAGAUUGUGUGUGUGUGUGUGGCUGCACUACACCACACACACACACACACACACACACACACACACACACACACACACACACACACACACACACACACACACACACACACACACACACACACACACACACACACACACACACACACAGAGAGAGCAUCUGAUACCUUUCUUCCCAAAGGGAACCGGAAAAAACUAUGUCCCCCUGCAGAGCUAAGCUAUUCUUGUGCGCCUGACAUCACAUGGCAGAUCAAGUCCCUGAAGCAGACCACCAACGAACUCCUCCAUGUUUGGUCAGGUUGACAGCUGGGGAGCAGUUGGGAGAAGAUGUGAAUGACAACUGCAUGGACGCUCCCCUGUCCCAGCAGGCGCUCCCAAGCAAACAACUAGUCAACAACAGACACCGCACCCUGACGCCUACCUCACACAUGUUCCAUUAGCCUGAGACCGUCAUUACAACACUGUGCUCAACCACACACUACUUAAUGCGCAGGCAACGUCACCCAGAGCCAAUAAUAUGACUACUGUGACUAUAUGGGCUUUCCUCCAGAACAGAUCAAGGCUUUUCACACAGAAUGUUUUAUAGUCAUACACAGUGAAACUAUUUCAAUGGUUUCAAGUCCAUGAUCACUCCCAAAACACAAGGACCCUAUGGCGAGUGAGACAGACAGACAGACAGACAGACAGACAGACAGAAAUAAAGACUUCUAUUCCAGUGUCUGCAGGCUACUGUUACUUCCCUCUCAUCUCCCUUUCCUUCUCACCACCAGCUGCUCUAUUAAUAAGCAGCCUAUCCUCGGGGCCUCCGAUAGCACACCCUACCCUACCCUACCCUACCCCCUGCACAUAUCUAGACGGAAAUAAGUCUCACCCCACAGCUUCCUCCAAGGUCAAAGCAAACACUGUUUUCAAAAACUUUAUCAACACACUCUUUGGUCAAAAAUCAAAUUGAUUCUGUUUAAAGUUGAACAUGUGCACAUGUUGUGACAGUCUUGUUAACUGUUCUUGACUAGUGGUUAGGGGCAACAGUGGUUAGGGGCAACAGUGGUUAGAGGCAACAGUGGUUAGAGGCAACAGUGGUUCCGGGUUAGUGCAGCCAUUCAGCAAUCAGAAGGUCCAAGUGUUUUUGAGCACGACACUGAACCCCCAACCACUCCUGAUGUGCUGGUUAAUGUCUGAGGCAUUAACAUUUCAAAAGCGCUACAUAAAUGCAGUCCAUUGACCAUUUUUGAGUGUCAUUUUUAACAUGGACAUUAGAAUGUAAAUUAUAAACAAAAUGUUUACAAACAGCAAGUGUCUUUGCCUGAGGGAUAUAAUACGAUAUUUCAACAAUAUUUUGUUUGAUCAUACUCGUUGAACAGCCAAUCAACGUGAUGUACUUCACCAACGGGCUCCGCUGUGGAUUCCACAUGGUCAACCAGCGGAAAAGUCGCCGACAGGGGUCGAACUAGUAACAACAGUUUGCUUACAACACGUUAGAGGGCUAGCUUGAGAAUUGAAAUACAGUCUUUGGCAAAACAGCUAAAUAUUGUUAAGACCACUCCUCUACACGAUUUGAGGUGGUUCAGUUGUUUAAAAAAAAAAAAUGUUAAAACGGGAAAGGGAUUGAGGGACUAACUUGUACAACCACUUUGACAGAGAGAGAAAAACUGAGAGAAAUGCUUAUGACAGUUCAUUGGGACAAGGGGGAUAAAAAUGACAUUCAGCACCACCAUCAAUGGGGGGCGGGGGGGGGGGCAUAGCAGGACUUGAGAGAGCUAGCUAGCCUUGGAAACAUUCUUUAGGAAUCCCAAUGCAAACAAAAGGCCAGGCUCAGACACCAAACUGAUUGUGAGUGUGGACUUUCAAUGUGAAUGAAGCCACAGUGAGUGGACGAGGGAGGGGGAGUAGGAGGUAGCUGAAGAGUGAGGUCGUGGCUGACUGCCCAAAUGGCUGCUCUCAAUUGGAAACUUCCAACUUUCUCACAGUAAACCACAGCCAGGCCUAUAAAGAAGCAGACGAUUCAUUAGCAUUCGCACCCUCUCUCCAUUCCUUUAGUGACCUAUGCAGUGAGUAGCACAGGUAGACAAGGCCACCUGCAUCAUGUGAGGGUCUCAGUCCUUUGUAGAAUGCUUUCCGCUAUCCAUUCCAUUUCAGAGAGGUAGAUAACAUACCUACUAAAAAAAGUGCACUAAGCAAACAGACUGGAACUGUAAAUAAACUGUUUCACCACACCGAGCUUUAACCGACGACACCUCAGCAGCGCCUCAAGCUGUGUCAACAGUUUGACUUCAUUGCAGCUUCAACAAUCCCAAAAUCACAGACAAACAUUCAUCAAUGGAAGAGUGGGGAGCUGUUUCUCACGUGUGAAACCCAUAAGGGAACACAGGGACCCAGAAUAUUGGCAUGAUAUCCACAUAGGAAAAUAAAAAGGGAAAACCUUGUGCCAUGUUCCAUGCCCAAUUCUCCCCCCCCCCCCCCCCCCCAGUCCUAUUCAUAUGGUGUGGAGAUUUUUUGAACAUCUUCCUGGUCCCCACGUCAAAUGUUUUCCUAUUUCCUCCAUAUUCUCUGCACUGGUUCAUUUGGUGUGCCGUGUUUUCCCAGGUAUAGAAGUACAUGGUUGUCAGAUAUAGCAGCCAAGUAAGUGAGUAUAGCCAAACCACCCACCCACUCAAAUCUAUCAAAAUAAAACCACCUCUGCAACUAUUUCACAAUCAAUCAAUCAGCAGCACACAUCUUUUCACAAGCUAAGCAAUAUUUCAAAUUCACUCCAUUCUCAGGCGUGCCACAGGGCCCUAGCUGCAGAGAGUGUGAGUGAUAGAUAGCCUAAGUAGAAUAAUGUGAGUGGGAUU